rnacentral:lncRNA from 1 species
GAAUCUUACACAAUUUGCUACUAAGAUGGGUGUUUCUUUUGAACUUGAAGUAGUAAAUUUUGACUCGUUUGACCCAAAUUCUUAUUCAGUGUCAUUGGAAAAUGAAGCAGUUGCUGUGAAUUUUCCUCUCUGGUCUGCAUCAAAUCACCUGCCGGCCCUUCCCUCUCUUUUGUCCUUUAUAAAACGGCUCUCCCCAAAAAUCAUGGUAUCAAUGGACCGUGGAUGUGAACGAAUUGAUCUCCCCUACCCACAACACCUCCUCCAUACCUUACAAUACUAUGAGAUUCUGUUUGACUCGCUGGAUGCUGCUAAUGUAACUUCCGACACAGUCAGCAAAAUAGAAAGGUUUCUUUUUCAGCCAAAAAUUAGAAGCAUGGUUUCAGGACGUCUCCAUUUUCCAGAACAGAUGCUCCCUUGGAAAUCAGUUUUUGCCUCUAUGGGUUUCUCACCAGUGGCAUUUAGUAACUUUGCUGAAACCCAGGCUGAGUGUUUGGCAAAGAGAACCCAGGUUAGGGGAUUUCAUGUGGAGAAGCACCAGACAUCACUCGUGUUAUGCUGGAAAAACCGUGAGCUCAUGUCAUUGUCAGCUUGGAGGUGCUAGAGCUGUGGAUUGCAAGUCUCUUGGCUCUUGUGCACAGAGCAAAGGUUUUAACUGACUUCACUCCUUAGGUACCAGCAAUACAUAUAUUUUAAACCCUGAUUAUGGUAUCUCCUUACGACUAUGUUUGUAUAUUUACGUUCGUCCAAGUCUAUUAUGCUUGUUAUGAAAUUAUCCAUGUAGUCUUGACAUAGGCAAACUAUAUUGUCUUGGUGCAAAAAAUUUAAACUGCAAUUCAGUAGUCAGUAUUUCAUUUGGACCACUGGUGCUUUGUAUGGUGAUAAUUUUAUGCUCAUAGGUUGCAAUUGAAUGAUUAUAGGCUAUAGCAUUUAGAAAACUGACAAGAUGGUGAGAACUGAAAACUGACUUCGGUGUUUUGUAUGGUUCAGGCAAAAAAAGUUAUAUGUGGUACUUGCCUUGUAAUAAUGUUAAAUAGUCUUGUACUCUUGUAUAUUCUUUAGAUUGAACUGAAGUGUCUACUGCCAUCAAUUUUGGGCUAUCGAGGGGCUUAGAGGAACGACUAAAACUGAAUCCGAUCUUUUCUUAAUCAAGUAAAAAUGAGAACCUUAGAUCUGGGCAUCAAAAUUGCAUGAAAAUCUUAAAGCACGACAUUACUAAAUAGCACAACCCUUGCACUUCAUUUUUGUCUGUAUUUGAUGCAGAACAUCCGCUUUUGAUACAUGCCUACUUUGUUUAGGAUUGUUCUUAUUCAAUCACGAUUCACGGUGUUCAACCCUCUCUGUAGCCUAGGUUAAUAGUCUUCGAUAUAAAAACAGAGUUCGAUUCCUUUAUUUAGGUUUUACCCAGUACGUCCACCCUAUCCUUCCAAGAUUUUCUCUCUUCAUUUUGAGUAUGGGCCAAAGCCAGGUCCCUGGGUCAUUUAAUCUUGCCCUCGCUGCACCCUAGAUAAACCGAAUAUGUUUUGUUUAUGUACUUCCAGUCUUCCGCUAUGGAAUUAGUUCCUAGAUAUACCAAAUAUAUUUUGUUUAUGUACUUGAAAUAUGGAUGGAGCGCACUUGGAUUACUACUGACAUCAAGAUUUAGAGUUUACACUUCUAUGCAAGUCUGAUGAUUAGAGACAGCAUUAUUUUGUUAUGCUCAACUAAAAAAGCUAGGUUGAUAACCUCCUCACAUGCUUCAUUUUAUUACUUUAAUCAUGUUUAUUGCAAAUUGCUAUUACUUUAGUGGUAAGCAUUGUUUAUAUGUUCAACCAAGGUUAGUUCCUUAGUUUACAUAUGAGAUACAUCGAUACAUUGAAUUUGUAAUACCGUCUUAUAUGAGUUUCUUAUACAUCUACUAAUCAGACCACAUGGGUGUGUAUAUAACUAUGUAUCAAACAAGUUUAGUAAUAUAAAGAUAAGUCAUAUUCAAUUGGUCUUUCUCCAGUUUAUAUAGCUGUUCUUUUAUUGACGUAAAAAGUGUAGCUUCUUUGCCAACAACUUUGAUAAUGUUUGAUGAUUAUUAGCCGGUUGCAUCUUAUUUUAAUUUUAGAUUAGGUUGCUCUCUCUGUAUUAUUUGGUGGCUAACACACGUCUAUAUAUCUAUGGCGGUAACAAGUCAGAAGUAUUAAGGUCAGCUCCUGCUCUGUCUUUUUGUAUUCAUUAGCUCCUACUCAGUUUUAUCGUACUGAAUGCUAGUUAAAUAUGUGUAGGAUAUCAGAUAACUUGUUUGCAAACUAAUGGAAUAGAAUCUGCCUAUCGUGUUUGAGUGAAAAAGUUAGAUUGAUUAGGUUCUUUAUAAUCUAGAAGUGUUAUAUACAUGAUAUAUUGAAUAUAGGGGCAGUUUGGGUGAGCUUAAAAUAAGUGCUUAUUGUUUAAAGUAAAAAAGUGAAGGAGAAGUUAGAAGCAAGUUAAGACUUGAUAAAAGUGUUUGGGAAAUGAGUAGAAGCACAAAAACUAGUAAUCGUAACUUUUUUUAAGUACUUCUUAUCCAAACGGUACACUUUUUAACACUGACGAAAACCAAUUUCCACCAAUUUCCAGUUUAUGUAUAAUAUAUAUACAUAAGGAUUGCAAAAGUUAAUUAGAGUUUAUUUUUACGUUGAUUUGAAACACCAACCUCCCUCCAUUAUUCUGAAUUAGAAAUUACACGAGAUGACGAUGAUAUAUAUGGUGUAUCUGAUUUACAUAUUUAUAUAAGCGAGUCAGACGAUCAAAAGCUAGUUGUUUAUAAACUCCUUUUUUGUAAUUCAAGUGGACUUGAUGAAAGAAUUGUCGUACGAUAAAAUAUCACUAAAAUUGUCAAAUGCUUGCGAUAACAAAAUCGAGAAAAUUGAUGUAUCCUCUGCCAAAUAAUUUAUUUAGUUUUUAUUCUUACGAAAAAAAAUUUAUUAUUAUUUAAACUGCUCGAUAGCCAUGAUUUUAAAUAUUUAACAGGAAAGAACAAUAAAACUUGGCUCAAUACCAAACUUAAUAUACUCACUAUAUCCAGUUAGAGCAGGGUGUAUUGCCAUAAAAUCUCCCGGGUAUUUAUUUUUUGAUACAGGUUGUAUUGAGUUGGGCCGAAUAAGAUACUUAUCCAGCAAAAACUUCUUAACAACCCACUAGGCCCACUAAAUAUGUAGCUAGCCGUUAAUCAUAUACUACAACAAUGGUGUCUUCUUAACAAAAACACGAAGCCGUUUAUACUAAGCGGUUUGUACUAAUAGUCUAUAGUAUCAGUGUUUUCAACAACAGUGACUGUUUCAAUCUUGUGAUAUAUGACAUACUGACAAACAAACUAGGUUACCUUUUCUUCUGAUUUGAUUCAAUGUGAUUGUGAUAUGUGGUGGUUUCAAUGAUUAAAUGCAAUAAAAAAAUUUAAGUUAAGAUGAUUUCUCAAAAUGUCACAUGUUCCUUGUAUCGUAAUACAAUUUCUUGCUUAUGCCAAAAAUUAUCACCGUCAAGGUCCUAAUAUGACAAAGACACUGAAAAAUUGUUAAUGUCCUAGUAUUUAUGUUCCCAUACUGUAUAAUACUGUAAUAUAUUUUAUAUUAUGUUUAUAAUCCUUUGGUGAAUAUGCUGUAACAUAUCUAUUUAUCAUAUUCGUCUUUCAUAUAAUAUUUAAUGAAUGAGCACAAAAGGAAUUUUGGGAAAGGGCCCAGAUAAAUUGGUACAAAAAUGAUAAUAUCUAUAUAAUUGAAAAUGGUCCCAAUUUUUUUUAUGACGGACCCGUAUUACUGCAAGAAAGAAAAAAAAAAGAACGAAAGGGUUAAGGUAAUUAGUAACAAAAAUGAUUAUAUUUGCAUGACUGGAAAUAAUGUUAAAUUUUCUACGUGUACUAUAAUUAGAAAAACAAAAACGAAACAUUCAAAUAGAAUUAGUACUGAUAUGAAAACUUUUGCGAAAUAUUUACACAUGUUUUUAAUGUCGACUGAGGAUAUUUUAAAACAAAAUAUCUAGGGGUGUAAAUUCGUCAACCAAAAACAUAACAAGUCUCAAGUCUUGUUAAUAAAUUUUUUCCUAUACAUAUUUAAUAUUACCUUGCAGUUGUUUGUAUGUAAGCCUAUAUUCUAAUUUUCAUUUAGUCUUGAAUUUAAAAUGCUCAUAAUAAAAUUUCGAUUCUAACUUGUGACGAUCAUGUGAUUGUUAGAACAGAACUGCUUAUGUACUCCACAGGGUUGUGAAACUUUUGAUAGCAACCUACAACAUCCAUUGUGGUCUUGGGUUUUGUAUGAUUGUAUCAGGCAGUAGGCACACAGGCAUGUCAAAUGUCCAAUACAGUACUAUGGUCAGCUUACUUGAUCAGUUUGUUUGAAUUUGAUAGUGUCCCCUGUUCAUUUUUACUACUCCCUCCGUCCCCCCUGAGUAGUAUAUAUUGGAGGACGGGGAUGCGGCACGGAUUUUAAUGCUCCUGUAAAGUGUAGUUGUGCAAUCUAUUUUUUAAAUAUUUUUUUUCUGAAUUAAAGUUUGGAUGUUAUAUUUUUAUACAGAAAAAGAAAAUCUCAAAAAUAAGUUACGGAACUAUAUUUAAUAAUAGCAUUGAAAUGCGUGUCGAGCAGUUAAAAAGAAACGUAUAUAAUUAAAUGGGACUGAGGGAGUAGGCUAUAGCAAGAAGUUGCUAUUCUUACCUGUUAGUACCCAUCCUUCAACCCAAUUUAUCAUUUAGCCCUUUAAACUACUCUCUCUUAUGUGUCACACAUAUUUCUAAUUUUCAUUUCAUGUUAAUAGGCUAAAUUACUAUUAAAUUAUUAAAUUGACCCACAACAUACAAUUGAAUCACUAUUUCAGUUGCCCUGGUAGCUUCACAAGCACCCGAUAUAAAGAUUGCGACUCACGACUUAAAAUGAUUUAAUGAAUAAAUUCGGAGUUUAAAAUAUUUAUUUUAAAUAAUUUUCACUUAUUAAUAAUUUAUGUCUUAUUAAAAUAUAAUAAUAACAAAAAUGAUUUAUUUUGGCAAAAAAUGAUUUGUGAAUAAUUUGUAAUCAACAAAAAAAUUAUCAAGAGAAAGUUUAAAUAUAUUAAGUCGUUAAAAAUAAUAUCUCAAACUGAUUCUUAGUUUUAAUUCGAUUUAUAGCUCAGUUUUGAGGCUGACUUUAAGUAAUGUUCUGACUUAUUACACGAGACCAUGAGUUUGAAACCUUUGAUGCAAAUCUCCGCCUCCAACCUUCAAUUAAGUGAAAAACCAAUCACCUUUACAGUUUACUCACAAAUCAUUUAAAUAGGCGUUACAAGGUUCGAUUUUUCAGAGAUUUGUUUAGAAUUAUAUGGUGGGUUGAAAGAAGUGACGAUGAAGAUGUAUGUGAGCUUAUGUUUGGGACUUGUGAGAAUGAUUUUUCUUGGUUCCUUAUAUGUUUUUUAUUCGAUUUUCAUCAGUUAUAAUUAUAUGCAAGUGUCUCUCUACCGUAGAAUAUAUGUUCACAACUUCACAUCGUGUUUAUGUAUUAGGAAUGACGGUGUAUGUUUAAUUUAAAACUUAUCAUCGUUAUAUAUCGGAUAAAUUUAGGUCAGGUGGUUUGAAUAAAACAAUCAUGUAUAUCAAAACUAAUGACAUCCCGCUAUAAUCAACGAUCAUACAAGAAUAUAAUAAUUAAUUUAAUAUCCCAGUCGCAAGAAUAUAAUAAUUUAAUUAAUCGAUCGUAAAUUUUUGCAGUUUAGCUGCCAAGUUACGAGUUGAGUUUUAGCUAGGCUAUGAUUUAGCCUAAUAACCCUUUUCCACUUCUGCAUUUUAAAUUUUUUAACCUUUUGACAGGUAAGGAAACACAAACAUGAGGGCGGUGUUUCUAGUAUGUAUUCGGGCAAAUUAAGUGAUUCUUGCUUAAAAUAAAAAAAUAAAAUAAAAAUUAAAAACAAGUUAAAACUUAUAAGUGAUUAAAGAGUUUGAGAAAUAAGUAGAAAUUCAGAAACAACAGCUAGCAUUCCUAGUUAGUCCUUCUUGACUUUUUACACAAACAGUACAAAUAAGUGCUUUUAACUCAUAAACCACUAAACCAGAAUUUGGGUUUAAAACCAGUAAACAAACGCUUUAAAGCGGUCUGCAAUCUUGAGGCACUGUUCUUUUAAUUUAUUAAUUAAUAAUGUAUAUUACCUUUUUUACUUGUACAUUUUUUUAAGGUACUUGUACAUAUUUAAUCAGCCUGCCGAUAAUUAUUUUCUUGUCUACUGUUGGGGAUCUUAUUUUAAUCUUAACUUUCUUUGGUGAAAUAAUGAGGUCUAUAGAAUACUCAUAUUCAUUGUUUGAAUAUUUUAACAUCAAACCGGGGAAGACUUAUGAGCAACUCAACCAACACACAUUUAAAUAAGGGGGCGUUUGACUUAACUUAAAAGUGUGGCUUAUUGCUUAAAAUAAAGAAGUGGAUUAUAAUUGAUAAAGUGAACUUGACUUAUAAGUUAUUAAAAAUGUUUGGAUAACUUUUUCUUAUAAGUCAAUUGAGUGUUUGGUAAUUUAAAUGUAUAAAUUUAAAAAAAAAAUCAAAUUAUUAAAAUAAAAAAGACUUUAUUAAUAAAUAAAAUUUAUUAUAUAUUAAAAUUUUUAAAACUUCAUAAUAAAUGCAAAUCACUGGAAAAGCUCAAAAAAAGCUAGCAUGUCUAGCUUCCAGCUUCUGGCUUAAAAAACCCAAAAUAAGCACUUCUGCUUAUUUUUGCCAAACACCACAUAAAAAGUAGAAGCUGCUUAAAGUGCUAAAAGAAACCCGGAAGCACUUAUAAGAAGUUUAGCCAAACACCCACUAAGUCUCUAAGUUAAUCUUGAUUCGUGUCUGGGUUUAGGCUGUGAAAUUUAAAAGUUGUUUUAAAGUUUAAAUUAAAACUUAUUUUUUGUAUAAUUAAUUACUAAGUUCAUUAAAUCUAGAGUUUAAUUAUAAAUUAUAAGUUAUAUUUUUAAAUUAUUUAUUUCUUUGUUAUUUUAUUUGAUAAAUAUAAUAUCAUCAUUCUUAUGUAAUCUAUAAAUUUUACAUUUAUUUUUAUUUUUUUACUAACUUAAAAGCUAAAUACAUUUAAAAAAUAUUACACACACACACACAUACAUACAUACAUACAUACAUCAAUUAAAAAUUUCCAAGUUGGUAUUUUUAAUUUUCGAAUUGUUUGUGUGUGUGUUAGCUUAUAAAUGGUACGAGUAAUUUAUAAUAUUUAUAAUUUUAUCAUUUUUAUUUUAAAUUUAAUUGGAAUACAAAUCGAUUAUACUGACCGAAUAUUUAAAUAUUUUUAUUUAAUUGAUAAUAAAAAAAUAUCAUAAAUUAUAUAUUAAGAAGAUUUAUAAGAUAAAAUUCGAUCUACCAAUAAAAUUAUUAAUAUAAUAGAAUAAUAUAAUAUAAAUAGAGAGCAUACGCCAGCAGUCCAGAUAAAAUGUUACGGUAUUUUGUAUUUACCCUAAAAAAAUAUAAUGAUAUUAUACAGUAGAUUUUUAUUUUUAUUUUUAGACAGAGAGAGAAGGAGAUUAUUUUGUGUGUGUCUGUAUGUGAGAGAGAAAAUGGCCAGCUUUGUUUCCCCUUUUUCAUGAUACACGCAUCCAUGGCACCACAACACAGAAGCCUACACAGAAACAGUACUAGAUCUACAAAGUAACCAAAGGGUAAAAAGGGCAAGUAAAGAAGAUAAGAUACAAUAAGCUGCAGCUGUUACCUUGGAAUACCAAGAAGAAGAAGAAAGGGGCCCUUCUGAAAUUAUUUCUGGAGGCUUCUUAUGUGGUGAAAGAGGAAAGACUUGAGUGAAGAGAUGAAGAUGGUGUUCUUGAAAGAUUCAUACUCUUGGCCUUGACUUUCUUACACUCAGCUUUUUGAAUCUGGAAGAUAUAGAAAAAACCCAUUUUGGUUACCAGGCAAGUUACUAGAUUUUGUAUAUGUAAAUAGAGUUUCUUGAUGUUAUGUUUCUGGGUUUGUUUACAAGGCAAGUUAGUAGAUUCUGUAUAUGUUAAAAAUAACUUGUGUUUUCUUGAUUAUUUGUUGUAAAAAAAAUUAAAAAUAUUGAAAGUUGUUUUUGGUUUAUUGAUGUUUUCAGAUGAGAGGAAUAGGGUACAACUUACAAGCAAUAGUAGAUAAUAAAGGUUCAAGCUUUGAAGCAAAGUGCAAGAAAGAAGCUAUUUUGGGUGGCAUUCAUGAAUCCCUCUUUCCUUUGGAUACUAAGAGGAGUCCUAGCCCUUCUACCUCCACCUCCGCUCUCUCCUCUUCUUUCGGAGGCGGCGGAGGCAAUGCAAGCUCUGGGGGCGGUGGUCAUAACAACUCAGCUAACUUGGUAUUGAUUUCUGAGGAUACCAUGAACCCCAAAUGGCAAGUUUCUGAACCAGAAAAUGAACGAGAAAGUGGUGGUAGGAAAGAUGAGUGGGCGGUGGAGCUGCAGCCCAUUUCUGGAGCUGGAAGUCCUCAAAGAUUUGGUCUUGGAAAUGGAAUGGAAGAUUGGGAAAGCUUGUUUUCGGAUACGGCAUCACAUGACCAGCUCAGAUGGAUUUCUGGUGAUGUUGAUGAGACUCCCUUGAGCUUGAAACAGCUUUUGCAAGGCGGAAACAAUCACGAAAUUGAAGACGCCUCUGCGAUACAGCCUUGGGGUAAUGCAGCUACUAAUUUCAAUUCUAAUAUGGGUGUUUCCAAUUCUGGUUUUACUUCAGCUUUAGCUCCAAAUUCUAGGGUUUUAAACUACAACCCUAACCCACAAGCCCCCAAUUCUCCUUUGCCUGUGAAUCAUCAGUUUAUGAACCAGAAUAUGGGCAAUCUCGACAUGUCCUCUGUAUUAUUACAAGCUAAUAGUAAUAAUGGCCAAAAAGACCAUAAUCACUACGAGCCUCAACCAAAAAGGCACAAUCUUGGCAUACCAAACUGCACUACUGGUGUCGCUAAAUCCCCAUUUGACGGGUUUCUACCAUCAAUAAAACAGCAUCAAAUGGGUUUUGCUAACCAGUGCAAUCUACUACCUCCUCAUCAGCUUCUGCAGAAACCAUUUAUUACUCCAAAGCAGGAGUUAACAGGUGGAAUUCGUGAGAAAAUAUCACCUGCAAGCCACCUCCAUCAGCACCAGCAGCAGCAACAGGUAAUAUAUGACCAGCUUUAUAAGACAACAGAGUUGAUGUUGUCUGGGAAUUUCUCACACGCGCAAGCGAUAUUGGCGCGGCUCAAUCACCAGCUUUCUCUCAAUAUAAAGCCUUUCCAGAGGGCUGCUUUUUAUUUCAAGGAGGCUUUGCAAACGUCCCUCCUCGAAAUAUCUGAUCCAGUAUCCCCGAUUUCAUCAAGAAUUCCUACACCAGUCGAUGGUAUGUUUAAGAUAGGUGCCUAUAAAGUGCUUUCGGAAGUUUCACCAUUAGUACAAUUCAUGAAUUUCACUUCGAACCAGGCUCUUCUUGAAGCACUUGGCAAUGCAGAUAGCAUUCAUAUCAUAGACUUUGAUAUUGGGUUUGGUGCACAAUGGUCUUCUUUCUUGCAGGAGCUUCCGAGGACGGACAGAAGUCCUCCCUCAUUAAAAAUUACUGCUUUUGCCUCCCCUGCAACCCACCAUGCCAUUGAGCUGGGUCUUAUGCAUGAAAAUCUUACACAAUUUGCUACUAAGAUGGGUGUUUCUUUUGAACUUGAAGUAGUUAAUUUUGACUCGUUUGACCCAAAUUCUUAUGCAACGUCGUUAGAAAAUGAAGCAGUUGCUGUGAAUUUUCCUCUCUGGUCUGCAUCGAAUCACCUGCCUGCCCUUCCCUCUCUUUUGUCAUUUAUAAAGCGGCUCUCCCCUAAAAUCAUGAUAUCGAUGGACCGUGGAUGUGAACGAAUCGAUCUCCCCUAUCCACAACACCUCCUUCAUGCACUCCAAUACUAUGAGAUUUUAUUCGAUUC